AAGGUAGCGUAAUCACUUGUUCUUUAAAUAAGGACCAGUAUGAACGGCUAAACGAGAGUCUAACUGUCUCCUGCAAGCAGCCAAUGAAAUUGAUCUUCCUGUGCAAAAGCAGGAAUAGCCCCACCAGACGAGAAGACCCUGUGAAACUUUAAUCGGCUAAGUCAUACACACAACUAAUAAUCACCCAUAAUUACCUGGACCGUGACUUAGCGUUUUUGGUUGGGGUGACCUUGAAACAAAGAAAAACUUUUAAGAAAGCUAUAACAAAGUAGCCAGUAUCCACUGAGACCCCCACACCUCAAAGUACUUAAAUGUAAUUAGAUCCGACAACGUCGAUCCAUGAACCAAGCUACUCCAGGGAUAACAGCGCAAUCCCCUUCAAGAGCCCCUAUCGACAGGGGGGUUU
rnacentral:rRNA from 1 species